rnacentral:rRNA from 1 species
UAGGGAAUCUUCCACAAUGGGCGAAAGCCUGAUGGAGCAACGCCGCGUGUGUGAUGAAGGGUUUCGGCUCGUAAAACACUGUUGUAAGAGAAGAAUGACAUUGAGAGUAACUGUUCAAUGUGUGACGGUAUCUUCCAGAAAGGAACGGCUAAAUACGUGCCAC